UCCGAUAUGGUGUAGUGGCUAACAUUAUCGCCUCUCAUUGCUGAAAGCAAAUAAAGUGGGAACGCGAUAGCCCGGGUUCGAUUCCCCGUGUCGGAA
rfam:Gymnopus luxurians FD-317 M1 unplaced genomic scaffold GYMLTscaffold_38, whole genome shotgun sequence.